GCCAACGAUGACAGAGGCAAUGCUGCAGGAUGGAAUGAAUUGUCUGGCCCACAGGACUAUUGGAGGAAGCACCAUGCUCCAGCCUGUGAAGUAUUGAUUUAGGAAAAGAAAGCCCUGUUACGAAAGAAAUGCAAAUGGCUGAAGAAAGUCUCUCAGUAUUUUGCCAAAGAAUUACAAGUGUGCCAGACUGACACCUUGGAGACCAGAUGUGACACACUGCAUGAGCCAAAGCAGUGUGAGAUACCUGCCUGUUCAGCUGCUUCAAGUAGGACCAGCAGUGAUGGCUUCGAACGUGUCAUCUCAAAUCAUCCAUCAGACCCACCUGGCCCACCCAUGACCUCCCACCAAGACAUCUUUCCCUGCUGCCAUCAAAGGAGAUGUUGUGAUGUGAAUACAUUUUUACUUACAACUGAGAGGAGAACAUUCAACUCCGAAAAGCUUCCAGCCCAUUGAUAUGCAUCACUUGGAAACUGUGGACUGCCCUGGAGGCAACUGCACAACAUCUGCUGUGAACACAUGAAAUCCUGCUCCCACUGAAAAGUCAGCUCGACACUUGGUUUAAUGGAGCCCAGAUCUCAAUUUGGUCAGUGGGGUCAGGUACAGCCUGGACAAUCAACAGCAUAAAAAUCAGCAAGUCAGCAAACUUCUGGUAUGAGAAACAUGAAAGAUUCAGGCACAGAAAUGAAUGCUACAAUUAAAAAAAAAGUAAAUUAAAAAACCUGGCCCUCAGUGUUGUCACAGCAACAGAGUAUUUACAGCUAAUCAGGCCAUACACCCCAAAAUAACUUUAAUGAGCCUGCCAAUGCUUGCAACAUGCACUAAGU